rnacentral:rRNA from 1 species
AGAGUUUGAUUAUGGCUCAGGACGAACGCUGGCGGCGUGCUUAACACAUGCAAGUCGAACGCUGAUGGCCCAGCUUGCUGGGUUGGAUGAGUGGCGAACGGGUGAGUAACACGUGAGUAACCUGCCCUCUUCUUUGGGAUAACGGUCGGAAACGGCUGCUAAUGCCGGGUAUUCACUGUCCUUCGCAUGGGGGGUGGUGGAAAGGUUUUUUCUGGUGGGGGAUGGGCUCGCGGCCUAUCAGCUUGUUGGUGGGGUGAUGGCUUACCAAGGCUUUGACGGGUAACCGGCCUGAGAGGGUGACCGGUCACAUUGGGACUGAGAUACGGCCCAG